GAAAUUCCACUGUUCUUUUGUAACAUAACCACUGAUUUAAAGUGGGCCUAUAGCUGCCCACAUGGCCCAGUCUCUUUGGCAAACAAGUAUGACUAUGUCCAUUUUGGAAGAAGUUUGGAAGUGAUGUGUGUAACUUUUAGGACACAUCUUUAAAGGGAGGGACCAUAUCUCCCUGAAUCUUAGGCUUUCCUGCCUACUAAGCUGGACACCUAUGAAUCGUCUGGAAACAUGUGGAUGAGGGCAACAUCCUAAAAAUGGCAGAGCAACUAGAAACAACCACCUUGGUCUCUGACACCAUGGAGUCAUUACACCAAUCCUGUCCUGCCAGUUUUCUGAUUGUCCCGGAGUUAACAUCUGUGCCAGUCUUCCCCUGUUUUGUAUCUGGGACACUGUCACAGCAUGGCUUGAUGAACAGCGUGCAGGUCUGCACCUGGGGUCUGAACCCAUGAACCCUGGCGCCCUGAAGCAGAGCAGAUGGUAAUGACCUGCUGUGGUGAUCACUAGGCGAUGCAUACAAAUGUUGAAUCAUGAAGUUGUACACCUGAAACCAAUAUAAUAUUGCAUUCUGAGACCAACUUAGCUGUUGUUUCUCUUCAAUGAGUCUUCAACUUUAUACUUAAGAAUCAAGCAUUUCGCUGGAAUAUGUCUACAUUAAGUAUCUCCAUUUAUUUUCCUGAGUCAUGAAAGAAGAGGGUUGACCAGUUAUUCUCCGAGGUCCUUUUCAGUGUCGCUCGUCAAGGACUGGUUGGCUUAUCACCUGAGUCUAAAAACGUACCUGGCACAUAGUGACUGCUCAAGUGUAGAGUCUACGUUUUUAACCUCUGAGACAUGCCUGGAAGUAGAACUAAGUGUGAUUCUUCAUGUAAAGACUACAAGGAAGAGAAAAAAUUGGAUUUCCCAAACUUGAUAGAGGUUUCUCAACUCUGAGCUGUUUGGAUAUAAUUUGCAUGAAGCUGUCAUGGCCACACAUCACUCUGUCCUUGGGGAAUGUAACAGAUAUGCGUCAUCCAACUACAUCUGAUGAGAAGUUCAGAAAAGGAAGUUGGUGAAGGUAUCAUUGACUUCUAAGUCAAGGUCCAAGCUGUCAGAAAACAAGUGGGAAAAUUGUAUCCACAGACAAAUCCAUGGAGGACUUUUAGGUUCCAGCGGACAUGGCCUGGUUCCCACUCAGAAGUCUUGGGUCUGGGUCUCAAUUAACUAGGCAGUAUUUGAAAGUCACUGUAUUUUUUUGAUUUUCAGUUUCCUCAUCUGUAGAAUGGAUUAACAUCUGCUCUCUCUAUCUCCUAAAGUUAAUCUGAGAUGCGAAUGAAAUCACGUAUAUGAGAAUACUCACAUAAAUGUUAUUUUAAUUUGCUUUAUGUGUGUGUGUUUUGCCUUCUAAACAAUGUUUCUUCCAGGUAAGGAUAUGUAUGCUUGGGAUGUGUACCUACCAAAAUGCCUGGCACAAGGUGUUUGUGAAAUAUUUGUUGAAUGUUUGUUAAAUGGAUGUUGAAUCUGAAUGAAACUGAAACAAUUUUGAAAAACUAUAGUUUGGAAGAGGUAACAAUAAAAUAUAUCAAAAUGUGAA
ensembl:lncRNA